rnacentral:rRNA from 1 species
UCGUAGGCGGUUUGUCGCGUCUGCUGUGAAAUCUGGGGGCUCAACCCCCAGCCUGCAGUGGGUACGGGCAGACUAGAGUGCGGUAGGGGAGAUUGGAAUUCCUGGUGUAGCGGUGGAAUGCGCAGAUAUCAGGAGGAACACCGAUGGCGAAGGCAGAUCUCUGGGCCGUAACUGACGCUGAGGAGCGAAAGCAUGGGGAGCGAACAGGAUUAGAUACCCUGGUAGUCCAUGCCGUAAACGUUGGGAACUAGAUGUGGGGGCCAUUCCACGGUCUCCGUGUCGCAGCUAACGCAUUAAGUUCCCCGCCUGGGGAGUACGGCCGCAAGGCUAAAACUCAAAGGAAUUGACGGGGGCCCGCACAAGCGGCGGAGCAUGCGGAUUAAUUCGAUGCAACGCGAAGAACCUUACCAAGGCUUGACAUAUACCGGAAACGUCCAGAGAUGGUCGCCCCGCAAGGUCGGUAUACAGGUGGUGCAUGGUUGUCGUCAGCUCGUGUCGUGAGAUGUUGGGUUAAGUCCCGCAACGAGCGCAACCCUCGUUCUAUGUUGCCAGCACGUAAUGGUGGGAACUCAUAGGAGACUGCCGGGGUCAACUCGGAGGAAGGUGGGGAUGACGUCAAAUCAUCAUGCCCCUUAUGUCUUGGGCUUCACGCAUGCUACAAUGGCCGGUACAAAGGGCUGCGAUACCGUAAGGUGGAGCGAAUCCCAAAAAGCCGGUCUCAGUUCGGAUUGAGGUCUGCAACUCGACCUCAUGAAGUCGGAGUCGCUAGUAAUCGCAGAUCAGCAACGCUGCGGUGAAUACGUUCCCGGGCCUUGUACACACCGCCCGUCAAGUCAUGAAAGUCGGUAACACCCGAAGCCAGUGGCCUAACCCCUUGUGGGAUGGAGCUGUCGAAGGUGGGAUUGGUGAUUAGGACUAAGU